rnacentral:lncRNA from 1 species
GGGAAGGAUUGUUGGAGCUGCUCCAUCUGCUGAGAGACCAAAGUCUCUUCAUAGGAGUUUCCUAAGAAACAUCAGACCCCAAAACCAACAGAGCCAAUUGUGUGAUCCUUAUGAUCAAGCAACAUGACUCUCUAGUGAUACAAGGCAGCUUUUGUUUACAGACUGUGUUUUGUAUGCGUCCUGUCAAAUUAAGUCAGCGAACACAUCCACUGCCUAAAGCCGCCACGGUCCUGGCACGGGGUCGAGCAGGCAAGUAAAGCAUGUGGGGGAAGGGAGUAGCGCUGAAACCCUAUGAAUGUUUCAUCUCUUCCAGCCGCGAGUCCUCAUCACAAGUGUGAGAGCCAGGCGAGGAGGCAUCCAUCCCCCUUUAUCCUUGAAAUUACAGUGAAGGCAAGACAGAAAAAGGCAGAAGGAAUAUUUUUGAAGAACCUAAAGCCGAUAUGCCCCUCUAGCACUCAAGAGAUGCCUAUGACACUUUGGAAUCCAUUGUCCCCUGAAAUGCCGCCAGCACUAGCAUCAGUGAGAAGUGAGAUUCAGGGUAUUCAUAAUGAUCAGACAAGGAGUACCAAAGAUAUGGCAAUGUGA